UACGUAGGGACCAAGCGUUGUUCGGAUUUACUAGGCGUAAAGGGCGCGUAGGCGGCAUGACAAGUCACUUGUGAAAUCUCCGGGCUUAACUCGGAACGGUCAAGUGAUACUGUCGCGCUAGAGUGCGGAAGGGGCAAUCAGAAUUCUUGGUGUAGCGGUGAAGUGCGUAGAUAUCAAGAGGAAUACCUGAGGUGAAGACGGGUUGCUAGGCCGACACUGACGCUGAGGCGCGAAAGCCAGGGGAGCAAACGGG
rnacentral:rRNA from 1 species